UGGGGAAUCUUCCGCAAUGGGCGAAAGCCUGACGGAGCAACGCCGCGUGAGUGAAGACGGCCUUCGGGUUGUAAAGCUCUGUUAUAUGGGACGAACGGGUGUAUGGUCAAUACCCAUACGCCGUGACGGUACCGUAAGAGAAAGCCACGGCUAACUACGUGCCAGCAGCCGCGGUAAUACGUAGGUGGCAAGCGUUGUCCGGAAUCAUUGGGCGUAAAGGGCGCGCAGGCGGUUCGGUAAGUCGGUCUUAAAAAGUGCGGGGCUUAACCCCGUGAUGGGAUUGAAACUGCCGGACUGGAGUGUCGGAGAGGAAAGCAGAAUUCCUAGUGUAGCGGUGAAAUGCGUAGAUAUUAGGAGGAAUACCAGUGGCGAAAGCGGCUUUCUGGACGACAACUGACGCUGAGGCGCGAAAGCCAGGGGAGCAAACGGGAUUAGAUACCCCGGUAGUCCUGGCCGUAAACGAUGGAUACUAGGUGUAGGAGGUAUCGACCCCUUCUGUGCCGGAGUUAACGCAAUAAGUAUCCCGCCUGGGGAGUACGGCCGCAAGGUUGAAAC
rnacentral:rRNA from 1 species